rnacentral:tRNA from 1 species
GGGGGUUUAGCUCAGCGGCAUAAGCGCCUGCCUUGAAAGCAGGCAGUCGUGAGUUACAAUCCUUG